UCUCCUCCCUCAAAAGUUAUAUUUUCUAUGUUGCUCGAAGUUUGGGUACUUGCCAGAGGAUGGCUUCCCUCCCUGCCUCAACGUAUUCCACAUAAUUCAAUGUGAGAUUUUGAAGGAUGGAUCCUCUUUUGCGGGCAACUACUGGCACCUCAUCCAAGAAAUCCCACUCAUUGUGAUUAAUCUAGUUCGGAUCCAACAGGAAGAUUUCUCUCCACUGUUUUAAGUUUUGCUCUUCAGAAGAUCCCACUGUCAUCUGUGUCUGGCAAAAUCUCUUGGGCUGAUCAAAUGCAAAUACUGUUGAGGAAAGGCGGAGAGGAGCAAUCAGGAGACUAUGCUUUGUUGCUCUGUUGAGUAAUCCUAAAAGUCUCACGUCUGCCACGAAGUAUUUUGAUUUAAAAUUGCAAGAAGGUCAUCAUCCAAUACCACUUGCAACCCAGUUAUCUUGGGUAGGCAAGUCUCAUCGUUAUCCCACUAAGCUGCCAGAGCUUUAGUUAAUCUUCACAAAACCUAGCUCAGACUUUUGGAUGAAAAAUAUGAGGACUGUGGAAAGACUAUCAAUGGUGGAGGAUGUAAGAAGCGUGGAGUAUUCUGUUUCCCUUGUCUCUAAUUUCUCCUUGGAUGAGAAACAUGAGGAACAUGGAAAGAUUAUCAAGUGAUCUCUCUCUCCUCGCUCAAACAACUAUCUUUUGUAGGUUACUGGUACUUGCCAGAGGAUGGCUUUGCUCCCUGCUCCAAGUAUUCGUCAUAAUGCAAUGUGAAAUUCUGAAAGAUUGAUGCUCAAAACUCAUAGUGAUGACUGUUGGCACCCUAUCCAAGAAAUCCCUUUCAUUGUAGUUGAUUGAGUUUGGAUUCAAUAAGAAGAUUUCUCUGCAAUGUCUAAUUUUUAUUCUUCAGAAUAUCUCACCGUCUUCUUUAUUUGGCAAACUCUCUCAGAAGGAUCAAAUGCAAACACUGUUGAGGAAAGGGAAAGAAGAGCAAUCAGGGAGACUAUACUUUGUCACUCCGUUACGUCAUCAUGAAAGCCUCACGUUUGCCACGAUGUAUUUUGAUAUAAGAUUGUGAGAAGACUGUUAUCCAAUACUACUCACAACCAUUUAUAUAUGGUAGGCAAGUUUCGUUACUAUGACCCUACCAAGCUGCCAGAGCUCCCAUCACGGAUAAGACAAGAUUCAUGCGCCAUCAUCGCUAGGGGGUUAUCCUUGUGUCCUCGCGUUCGUGAAAUAUCAGCUUGUGCCAAUAGGCCACAAUCACUGGUGAUCAGCGAUCCCCCAUAGUUUUGCAUUAGCAUUAUCAUUCAGGAAAAACAAAAUCAUCAAAACAAUCACAUUUUUUAGGCUUGCAAUGGGAAGUACCCUGGUAUGUCUUGUAGA